AGUAGAGACAGUUUCAUCAUGUUGGUCAGGCUGGUCUCCAACUCCUGACCUCAGGCGAUCCACCCACCUCGGCCUCCCAAAGUGCUGGGAUUACAGGUGUGAGGCACUGUGCCCAGCCUGUGCCUUUUUCUAUGGCAACAAUUAGCACAGAAAACAAUUCCCCCAUAGGAGCAUUUCCCCAGCACCCAACCUCGUGCCUGGCAUACAGUAGGAGCACAAUAAGUGCAUGUGGAAUGGUGGAUAAAUGAACGUGCCUAGUGCUUUUCUAGAGAGCACAUCCCAGGGGCAUGCAGACACGCAUGUCCAGGUGUCCAAAUAUCCUUCCCCAACUCCAGUCAGAGAGAGACCAUGAGAGACCCCAGCUGGGAAGAACCAUCACAUCCCCCCAUCAGAGACCCCGGUUGGGAAGAACCGUCACAUCCCCCCAUCAGACCUUUGCUCCCCUUCUCCUCUGUGGGGCUGACACCCAAGCAUUACCAUCCUUAUCCCUCCAGCUCUUACUUCUGGUGCUAUCUGGAGACAUGCAUUUGGGUUGUUACGAUCAGAAGUGACAGUGGCAGCUCUGCACUUGCGAAGGUCCAAUAGAUGUAUAAUUGAGUCAGUGCAGCCGACUGCGUUAGGAGCUACACUUCCUCGAGGCUCCAGAGGCUCUCUACAGAAGGCCAGUGUAUAAGCAAUGUCCUUUCAGUGUUUUUAGUGAGACAUCCUCCCCUCAUUGGGGAACAUUCUAGACACAAGGUUUGAGAAAGAAGGACCUUCCUUUCCAAAAGGGAAAAAGGAGGCCACAUUUGGCUUACUGAGCAUCCAUUCUAAAUGGCAUUUGAGGUGCCUCCUACGUGCAGAAGCAGGUAGUGACACAAAUGCAGAAGGAGUGGUGCAUGGUGCCCACACCGGGGACUAGCAUCUAAGGCUGUGCUCCUCAAACUCCACAGACAGGUGCCCCCGGAAUCUCGUAGACAUGUAGAUUCUCGUGCAGUGGAUCUGGGCAGGGGGAGGGUCUGCAUUUCUAAUGGGCUCCCGAGGGCUACAGAGGCAGCUAGCCUGGACUGGGAUCCAUGUUCCCAGCCUGGAGACCCGUGGCACUGGCCAUCCCUGAGAGUUUGUUUGAUAUGCAAGUUCUGGGGCAUCCCAGACCUCCUGUCUCAGAAUCCCUGGCAGUGGUGCCUGGGGACCCAGGUUGAACAGGACUCCCAGAGAUUCAGAUGCUCUGGCAAGUCUGAGCACCAUGGGGGCCAGACCAUGGCAACAGCCCAUCCAGGAGCUGCACUUCGCCCUUCCUGCAUGCUGUAAGAUGUCAUUAAGCAGCCCAUGCCCCACUAGGCCAGGCACAGCCUCAGAACCCUCCAGGCAGCAGUCCAGGCCCCCAGGAUGAUAGUACGACACCCCAGGUCUACACAGACACUAAGGAGACAGCAGAUGGUCCCCCAAGAUGUGCUAGAUGCUACCCAAGUGAGAUGCACAGUUACACGGGUGCUCGGUCCGGGGAGGGAGCAGCCUGUGGUGCUCUGGGGGAGAGGAGGUGUUGGGGUGUCACAGGAGAGGUGAGACGUGAUCUGGACCUUGGAAGGAAAGGAGGAGUUGUCCAGGGCAGCAAGGAAGGGCACCCCAGGCAGGGGUCACGGCACUGGCAGAGGCACAGAGGUGGCAAAGCUUGUUGUUUGCUUGGAAACUGCGUGAAUCAGCUUAGGGCCAGGCCCUGAGCUCCAAAGUGGAGAUGGGGUUAUGGGAGGAGAACUGGGGAGCAGGGGAGCCAGGAGGCUGGUGUGAAAGACAGGGCCCGGGAUGCAUCCCAGGAAAGCCCCUGCCUACCCGCUUUUCUUCCCAGGCCCCUUUCCUGAGACCCUGCUGGGGAAAAAGAGACAACAGCGCAGGAGGAGGAGAGGGCAGUCAAUGUGAUUUCAGACACUCCAAGAUAAACAGGGAAACUAAGAGUUCAGACUCGUUACAUUGGCCAUGGGAAAAAUCACCAUUAGGCACCGCAUUUUAAUACAGCAUUCUGUCUGGUUUUGAUUUCACAGAUGUAAAAAAAAAAAAAAAAAAUGCAGGCAAUCUGGAAUUAAGUUGGACUACUUCCAACUGUUUCUAUAAACCACAUUUGGGAUUCUUCCAGCAUUUCUGAGAUUCAAUUUACAGAGAUUUCUUCAAGUCAAAAAAAUAAAAAAGAAAGAAAAAAAGAACCUAAAUACCCUCUGUGGGGAGCAGUUGUUGGGGUCCCGGCUGGUGCCAUGUUCCCACAAGGGGCCUCCCUGUCCUAGUGUAAUUGGCGUAAUUCACACUGUUCUGAUUACAGAGGGCCUGUGAGAUGUUGCAUUUAGGAGCCAUUCCGGAGGUCUUCCUUCCUGCAUGCAAUUUCAUCUGCAUUUUUAUCAACGAGAAUUUUGCUGUUAAUAGAACGUGUGUUCUCAUGCUGACCGUGAAACUGAAGUCAUACACCUGGGCAGCUGCUGGGCCCACAUGUGCUAGGUUCUGCGGGGUCUGGUCAGAUCUGGGAGGCCUAGCUUGGAGGCGGCUUUCCUAGGCCACCCCAGGCAAAGAAGAGCUGCUUCAGGGUCCCCAACCUGCGCCACCCGCUCAGGGCUCCCCCCACCAGGUGAGCUGGACCCUGGGGGUCUCCACAGACACCUCAGCUAGUCCUGACCUGCUGGCCAGACGCCCACCAGCCCUGCCUUCCAGAGGGCCCCGCUACAUCGUCUUCAUACCCCAGGGCCUCCCAGCCGCCCCACCUGCAGGGCUGCUAGAACUUUCUCCCGAGACAAAGCCUGCCAUUGUGCCUCCCUGGAGCCCGUCUCUGCAGUGGGGGGCAGGGUGUGUUGAGCGUCCCGGGUCCAGUGUCUCCGGCGUGUCCUGCAUCUCGGCAGCCAGCUCCUCUGCAGCUCAGGCCCCGUGAGUCACAGCCGCUUCCUCAAAUGCUUUGGCUGACCGCAUCCCCCCGCUCCGCCAGAACCCUGGAUGCCGGAGCCCUCCCAGCGAGAGCCGUGUUUAUUUUACUUUACAUACAUUUUCCAACCCGGAGCGGCUUCAACACAUGCAGCUCUUAGGCCCGGGCCGCACAUCUCAGAAGCCCCGUGUGCGACUUUGACUGCCGCACGAUCCUCUGCCGGGGGAGGUGGGCCCGCUGCGCUUUGGGAGCACCCGCGCCCGACACUGAGGUCUCGGUGCUGUCUUCGGCCUCUUCGCCCCUGAGGGUCCCCUCUGGGAGCAGAGGCGGUCGGAAAACCCUGGGGCUGAAGUGCAGGCUUCGGGAGGACGCGACCUGCCAAGAUCAGCUCCCGGCACGUGAUGGGAGCCUGGCUCACCUUCCCCCAGCACACGAUGGGGCUGCAGCCUCCCCGGUCAGCCUGGCCUGCUGGAAAGGAGCAGCUCUGUCUCCAGAGGCUUCUGGCGAAGCCCAUGGCCUCCCAAUGUUGGCUGAUUUAUAAGGAAAGAGGGGAAAGGCCAAGUGUGGAUGCCAUUAGCAUAACCUAAUCCAGACCCCAUGACAAGUCCAGGAUCCUGCAGGGAGAGGGCAUCCUUGAACGUGAAGGACUGGGUUUGGAAACUUGGCCUCCCGGAAGAAAGGUCUCCGGGCCCACCCACACCCCCCUUGUGGACGCCCCCGCAGUCUAAUACACUCCACAGUAAGACGGACCAGGAACAGCAGCAGCCUCCGGUGUCGGCCCAGUGAUCCGGGAGCUCAGAGUGUAGGUACCUGACGGCUUGACUCGUCCCCAGGACAAGGCCUGUGAGUGGGAGAGGGGCACUCUGAGUGUGCGAAUCUGUGAGAGUGUGUGUGUGUCUGGGCACGAGUGUGUAUGCGUGUGUGUGCAUGUAUAUUCACAUGUGUGAGGGUGUGAAUGUGUGUGUCUGUGGGUCUGGGCACAUGAGUGUGUGUGUGCAUAUACUACAUUCACGUGUGAGUGUGCAAAUGCGAGUGUGUCUGUAGGUCUGGGCACGUGUAUGCGUGUGUGUGCGAGUACUAUAUUCGCAUGUGUGAGUGUGCGAAUGUGUGUGUCUGUGGGUCUGGGCACACGAGUGUGUAUGCGUGUGUGUGCAUGUACUAUAUUCACGUGUGUGAGUGUGCGAAUGUGUCUGUGGGUCUGGGCACAUGAGUGUGUGCAUAUACUAUAUUCACGUGUGUGAGUGUGCAAAUGUGUGUCUGUAGGUCUGGGCACAUGUGUAUGCGUGUGUGUGCGAGUACUAUAUUCACGUGUGUGUGAGUGCGAAUGUGAGUGGGUGUGGGUCUGGUCACAUGUAUGUAUGCAUGUGUGCAUGUAUUAUAGUCAUGUGAGUGUGCAAAUGUGUGUGUGGGUCUGGGCACACAAGUGUGUAUGCAUGUGUUUCUAUUGUAUUCAUGUGAGUAUAAGUGCAAAUGUGUGAGUGUGUGUUCUCUGCACACACAAGUGUAUAGGUAUGUGUUUGUGUGUGCAUGCACUGUAUUCAUGUGAGUGUAUGUGAAUGUGUGACUGUGAGAGUUUGAGUGUGCCUGGGUGUCUGGCUAUACUAGUGCAUGUCUGUGUUCGUGUGCAUCAGUCUGGGUGUGCCCGUGUGUGAAUGUGUCUAUGCGUGGGUGUCCCAAUAUGUGUGUGCCUGUGUAUCCAUGUCUAGGUGUGCCCGUGGGUGUGAGUGUGUCUGUGCGUGGGUGUCUGGAUACGUGUGUGCCUGUAUGAGUGUGUAUCCAUGUCUGGGUGUGCCCACGGGUGUGAGUGUGAAUAUGUAAGUCUUGCGUGUGCAUGAGUGUGUUCACAUGAGUGUGAGGGUCUGUGCAUAAGAGCCUAUUGUGAGUGCAUGUGGAUUGCAUUUAUGUGAGUCCGUGUCUGUGUGCACGCACGUGUCCCCGCACAAGCCAGCCCGAGAGGGAGUGUCCCCUGAACACACCCUGGCAGCACUUGCAGCGUGAUGAGGUUGAGGGAAUGUGUCGCUGAGGUCGUAAAUGCCUCUCGCACGUCCCAACACGCUGGAGCAACAGCAGCCCGUGAUGCCGGCCGCGCAGCCGUGAAGUCCGUGGAGCGUCCCUAAUCACUGGGGGUUCUGCUUUGCGGUGACAGCGGUGCUACUCACAGCUCCAGAACUCUGCAGCUUCCCCCCUGAAACGGGAACGGGAAGGUGGCGCGGGCGUCCACACCUCGAGCCACAGCCGGCGGGAGGCACAGGCUGGCAAAACUGCCUCUCAGUAGUGAGAAGAGACAAACAAACCGAACGCCAGGAGCAGAGGAAACGAAGACGAUGUGGCCAAGAAAAAUUGCAUUUUUCUUUCCAGUUUUGCUAAAAUAGCCUUCUCAUUGGCUGCGGCUUUGGAGGUGGCAGAAAUCAUACGUUUAAUCACGGCGCCCUCCUGCUUGCCAAGCUUUGCGUCCUCCAGAAUUGUCCUGUGAGUGACUCCCGCAGGAUGGAGACUUUUGUGUCUGGCUUCCUUCACUUCGCAGCAGGCUUCGCGGGACCCGUGUGGUGGCACCAGCGUCCAGCCCUUGGUACUGCUGAGUUGUAGGUUGUGGGACAGGUGGAGGUACCACAGUUGCUCACGGGUUCACCUGUGGAUGGGCAUGUGGGCUGUUGUGAGUGAAGCCACUUCAGACGUUUGCGUGCAGGUUUGGUGGGGACGUGCAGUUUCAUUUCUUUUGAGAGUGGGAUUGCUGGAGCCUAUGUUAAGGGUACGUUCAACUCAUCAGCUCAACUGUCUUCCAAAUGGCAGCCCCGUUUUCCACCCCCGCCAGCAACGCCCGCGACUCCAGGCGCGCUGCAUUUUCAUCAGCACCUGGCAGUGGUGAUUCAUAAUGCUUUAAAUGUUAAUUUCCCUCAUGACUAGUGAUGUUAAACAUCUUAUUAAACAUCUUAGGUAUUAUUUCAUGUGUUAUUUCAAAUCUUUUACCUACUUUUUAGUGGAUUAUAUUUGUCUUCUUAGUAUUGAGUUCUAAGAGUUAAAUAUUGUGGGUACAAGUCCUCUAUCAGAAAUGUGUUUUGUAAAUACUUUCUUCUAGUCUGUGGUUUGUCUCUUCGUUUUCUUAAGUAUGUCUUUAAAGAGCAGAGGCUUUUGAUUUGGAUAAAGUUCAGCUUGUCAGUUUUUUCUUUUAGGGUUAUGUUUUUGUAUCCUAUCUAAGAAUCUUUGACUAUCAAAUUCUCACAAAGCAGUUUUUUGUUUUCUUCUAGAUGUUUUACGGUUUUAAAUUUUACCUUUAGGUCUACAACCAUUGUGAUUUAGAUUUUGUAUUUAAUGUAAGGUAUAAGUUGAGAUUCAUUUCUCUCUGUUUUUGGAGACUUAUGUCCAGCUAUUCCAGAACCAUUUGUUGGAAAGAGUAUCUUUAUCCCAACAAGUUAUGUGGGCACUUUGUUGAAAAAGAUCUAUUGACCAUAUAUACAUGCGUUUAUUUCCAAGACUCUAUUUUGUUCUGUUGACCGAC
rnacentral:lncRNA from 10 species